GAGUGGUUAACAGCCAGUUGUAUUUUUCUGAAUCCCUCCCAUACAGUCUUUCAGUUUCCAUCUUCUCAGUUAUCCCAAAUAAAAGAUUAAGGCUUUGGGGUUAUCUUCUCUGCAAAAAUAUACUUACAGAGGUCCCUCCAAGAGCAGCAGCAACUCGUUCCUACAGCCAGAGCUGCUGGGCACCAGAAAGGAACUAAAGAGCAAUCCUGAAAAAUAUCUCCUGGGAUGGAAAAAUUCUGAUCUUUGAGAAAACAGAGGAACUGCUGUGUGAGAGGAAAAAUGUCAAUUUAUUUGGAGGACAGGUGAGUUUGUUUACUAAACUAUGCAAUCUUCAAGUCUGUCUUUGAAAAUGCACGGUCAGUUUAAGAGGAGGUGCUUUCAGCUUUAGAAAGCACUGGUAAACGUCAAAAUUAUUUACAUUUUUCACAUAAUGGACC
rnacentral:lncRNA from 1 species